UACGUAGGGUGCAAGCGUUGUCCGGAAUUAUUGGGCGUAAAGAGCUCGUAGGCGGCCUGUCGCGUCUGCUGUGAAAUCCCGGGGCUCAACCCCGGGCGUGCAGUGGAUACGGGCUGGCUGGAGGCAGGCAGGGGAGAACGGAAUUCCUGGUGUAGCGGUGAAAUGCGCAGAUAUCAGGAGGAACACCGGUGGCGAAGGCGGGUCUGUGGGCCGAUACUGACGCUGAGGAGCGAAAGCGUGGGGAGCGAACAGG
rnacentral:rRNA from 1 species